CUGCUGCAGCAAUGGAUCCGUGAACCGAAGCCGAACCCUUCUAUUUCCUGGUACCUCGCCGCCUCCCUCAACGCCGUCGGUCGCUCGGGCCCAACAAUGGCGAGGCGCCGUGUACUUCUCCUGCUGAAGCCUCUCGACGUCUAUCCGCCAAGGCCCAACAUACUUCCCUCCUCUUCCUCCUCAUCCUCGUUUCCUUCUUCCCUCAACCCUAAGAUUAUAAGUUAUUUAAAUAGCAGAUAUAAGGUACAUCAGGAUACAAUCAGAUUCUGUCAGGAUGUACUACAAAGCAAAUACAUUGAGUGGGAACCAGUCACACGAGAUAAUUUGUGUCGUCCAAUUCGUCAUGUAGAUCUUGUGAUCACAAUCGGCGGAGAUGGCACUCUUUUACGAGCUAGUCACUUUUUGGAUGACUCCAUUCCAGUACUAGGCGUCAAUUCAGAUCCCACUCAAGUCGAAGAGGUUAAUGAGUUAAGCGAUUCAUUUGACGCGACAAGAAGUACAGGCUAUCUUUGUGCUGCAACAGCAAAAAACUUUGAGCAGGCAACAUCCAGAACUACUUUUAUAGAAGAUUAUUAGUCAAGUAUUAGAUGAUGUACUCGAGGGUCGCAAACAGCCUUCAGAGCUCUCAAGGAUAUCCAUUCAUGUAAAUGGCAAUCUGUUUCCAACUUAUGCUCUAAAUGACAUUCUUGUUGCGCACCCUUGCCCAGCAACAGUUUCUCGGUUCUCAUUCAGAAUUAAAGAGGACAGGACAAGCUCAAGCUUAGUCAGUUCCCGAUCAAGUGGCCUCAGGAUCUCAACCGCCGCAGGAUCAACAGCUGCCAUCCUUUCUGCUGGAGGUAUCCCCAUGCCGAUUUCGAGCCAAGAUCUUCAAUACAUGGCGAGAGAGCCCAUCUCACCCAGAGUUGCGGAAGUUCCUCUGUUGCGGGGAUUUGUGAAGCCUGAACAACUAAUGCUUAUCGAUUGGUAUACUCAAGAAGGUGUCAUAUAUGUUGAUGGUUGUCAUGUAACUUGUCCUCUUCGAUACGGGAACACAGUUGAGGUAUCAGCAAAAGCUCCAAUUUUGAAAGUUUAUUUGCCCCGUGAAUUUUCGAGGGAUUGUUCUGUGACAUAUCAUCAACCACAGAGUGAACUAUAAUUUUGUAAAUUUGAUUCUUUGGUACUUUGUCUUGAAGCCCGAAGCUAAAGACUAAUCCAUUUGUGAAAAAUUGAAAUUGCA